rnacentral:rRNA from 1 species
UACGUAGGGCGCAAGCGUUGUCCGGAUUUAUUGGGCGUAAAGAGCUCGUAGGCGGCUUGUCACGUCGGUUGUGAAAGCCCUGGGCUUAACCUAGGAAUUGCGCUUGAGACUGGAUAGCUUGGAGUGCGGCAGAGGGAGGUGGAAUUCCACGUGUAGCAGUGAAAUGCGUAGAGAUGUGGAGGAACACCGAUGGCGAAGGCAGCCUCCUGGGCCAGCACUGACGCUCAUGCACGAAAGCGUGGGGAGCAAACAGG